rnacentral:tRNA from 1 species
GGUGGCUCAAUGGUAGAGCGCUUGCCUCACAAACAUGAGGUCCUGGGUUCGAUUCCUCAGCACCA